CCUACGGGUGGCAGCAGUGGGGAAUAUUGCACAAUGGGGGAAACCCUGAUGCAGCGACGCCGCGUGAGUGAAGAAGUAUUUCGGUAUGUAAAGCUCUAUCAGCAGGGAAGAAAAUGACGGUAUCUGAUUAAGAAGCCCCGGCAAACUACGUGCCAGCCGCCGCGGUAAUACGGAGGGGGCAAGCGUUAUCCGGAUUUACUGGGUGGAAAGGGAGCGUAGACGGGAGCACAAGUCUGGAGUGAAAGGCCGGGGCUUAACCCCGGAACUGCUUUGGAAACUGUGCAGCUAGAGUGCAGGAGAGGUAAGUGGAAUUCCUAGUGUAGCGGUGAAAUGCGUAGAGAUUAGGAGGAACACUCGUGGCGAAGGCGACUUACUGGACUGUAACUGACGUUGCGGCUCGAAAGCGUGGGGAGCAAACAGGAUUAGAUACCCCUGUAGUC
rnacentral:rRNA from 1 species